GUUAGGAAUAUUGGACAAUGGGCGAAAGCCUGAUCCAGCCAUGCCGCGUGAACGAUGAAGGCCUUCGGGUUGUAAAGUUCUUUAGCCGAUGAUUAUAAUGACUGUAGUCGGAAAAUAAGCCCCGGCUAACUUCGUGCCAGCAGCCGCGGUAAUACGAAGGGGGCGAGCGUUAUUCGGAAUCACUGGGCGUAAAGCGUGCGUAGGCGGUUUUGGAAGUUAGGAGUGAAAGCCCAGGGCUCAACCUUGGAAUUGCUCUUAAAACUGCAAGGCUAGAAUGUCGGAGAGGAUAGCGGAAUUUCCAGUGUAGCAGUGAAAUGCGUAGAUAUUGGAAGGAACACCAGUGGCGUAAGCGGCUAUCUGGACGAGUAUUGACGCUGAGGCACGAAAGCGUGGGGAUCAAACAGGAUUAGAAACCCGAGUAGUCC
rnacentral:rRNA from 1 species